rnacentral:rRNA from 1 species
CAGCAGCCGCGGUAAUACGUAGGUGGCAAGCGUUGUCCGGAAUUAUUGGGCGUAAAGCGUGCGCAGGCGGUUUGUUAAGACAGAUGUGAAAUCCCCGGGCUCAACCUGGGAACUGCAUUUGUGACUGGCAAGCUAGAGUAUGGCAGAGGGGGGUGGAAUUCCGCGUGUAGCAGUGAAAUGCGUAGAUAUGCGGAGGAACACCGAUGGCGAAGGCAGCCCCCUGGGCCAAUACUGACGCUCAUGCACGAAAGCGUGGGGAGCAAACAGGAUUAGAUACCCGAGUAGUCCCUGUCUCUUAUAA